CUGAGGCCGACAGGCGUAGGCGAUGGAUAACAGGUUGAUAUUCCUGUACCACCUAUAAUCGUUUUAAUCGAUGGGGGGACGCAGUAGGAUAGGCGAAGCGUGCGAUUGGAUUGCACGUCUAAGCAGUAAGGCUGAGUAUUAGGCAAAUCCGGUACUCGUUAAGGCUGAGCUGUGAUGGGGAGAAGACAUUGUGUCUUCGAGUCGUUGAUUUCACACUGCCGAGAAAAGCCUCUAGAUAGAAAAUAGGUGCCCGUACCGCAAACCGACACAGGUAGUCAAGAUGAGAAUUCUAAGGUGAGCGAGCGAACUCUCGUUAAGGAACUCGGCAAAAUGACCCCGUAACUUCGGGAGAAGGGGUGCUCUUUAGGGUUAACGCCCAGAAGAGCCGCAGUGAAUAGGCCCAAGCGACUGUUUAUCAAAAACACAGGUCUCUGCUAAACCGUAAGGUGAUGUAUAGGGGCUGACGCCUGCCCGGUGCUGGAAGGUUAAGAGGAGUGGUUAGCUUCUGCGAAGCUACGAAUCGAAGCCCCAGUAAACGGCGGCCGUAACUAUAACGGUCCUAAGGUAGCGAAAUUCCUUGUCGGGUAAGUUCCGACCCGCACGAAAGGCGUAACGAUUUGGGCACUGUCUCAACGAGAGACUCGGUGAAAUCAUAGUACCUGUGAAGAUGCAGGUUACCCGCGACAGGACGGAAAGACCCCGUGGAGCUUUACUGUAGCCUGAUAUUGAAAUUCGGCACAGCUUGUACAGGAUAGGUAGGAGCCUUUGAAACGUGAGCGCUAGCUUACGUGGAGGCGCUGGUGGGAUACUACCCUAGCUGUGUUGGCUUUCUAACCCGCACCACUUAUCGUGGUGGGAGACAGUGUCAGGCGGGCAGUUUGACUGGGGCGGUCGCCUCCUAAAAGGUAACGGAGGCGCUCAAAGGUUCCCUCAGAAUGGUUGGAAAUCAUUCAUAGAGUGUAAAGGCAUAAGGGAGCUUGACUGCGAGACCUACAAGUCGAGCAGGGUCGAAAGACGGACUUAGUGAUCCGGUGGUUCCGCAUGGAAGGGCCAUCGCUCAACGGAUAAAAGCUACCCCGGGGAUAACAGGCUUAUCUCCCCCAAGAGUUCACAUCGACGGGGAGGUUUGGCACCUCGAUGUCGGCUCAUCGCAUCCUGGGGCUGUAGUCGGUCCCAAGGGUUGGGCUGUUCGCCCAUUAAAGCGGUACGCGAGCUGGGUUCAGAACGUCGUGAGACAGUUCGGUCCCUAUCCGUCGUGGGCGUAGGAAAUUUGAGAGGAGCUGUCCUUAGUACGAGAGGACCGGGAUGGACAUACCUCUGGUGUACCAGUUGUCGUGCCAACGGCAUAGCUGGGUAGCUAUGUGUGGACGGGAUAAGUGCUGAAAGCAUCUAAGCAUGAAGCCCCCCUCAAGAUGAGAUUUCCCAACUUCGGUUAUAAGAUCCCUCAAAGAUGAUGAGGUUAAUAGGUUCGAGGUGGAAGCAUGGUGACAUGUGGAGCUGACGAAUACUAAUCGAUCGAAGACUUAAUCAAAA
rnacentral:rRNA from 1 species